UACGAAGGGGGCUAGCGUUGUUCGGAAUUACUGGGCGUAAAGCGCACGUAGGCGGGUCGUUAAGUCAGGGGUGAAAUCCCGGAGCUCAACUCCGGAACUGCCUUUGAUACUGGCGAUCUUGAGAUCGGAAGAGGUGAGUGGAAUUCCCAGUGUAGAGGUGAAAUUCGUAGAUAUUCGCAAGAACACCAGUGGCGAAGGCGGCUCACUGGCCCGGUACUGACGCUGAGGUGCGAAAGCGUGGGGAGCAAACAGG
rnacentral:rRNA from 1 species